CUCGGCCUUGUUCAUCUCUCUUUUUUUAGUGAAAAUAUGAGUUAUUAUGGGUUAAAUAAGUGUUUUAAAUCGACUUAUACAGUAACAUUGAGAAUGAUACAUCAGAUAUAUAUGGAUAUUAUGAUUGUCAAUGGUCCAAGUCCAACCAUGCAUGCAUGCAUCCCGUUAAAUAGGAAAUGAAAUCACGUUUACUGUUUGUGGUCUAAGUC